ACUCGCAAACAUGAAGAAUCAUUUGAUCAGUGUGGUCUAAUAGAAAGAAAAUAGUUGCAUUUGCAUCAAAAUUAAUUAGGGCUCUAAUGACAGCUAUUUCUAAUUGUUUCAGUUACGUUAUUACUUAGUUCUCUGUAUUUCCUAUUUGUUUCACUGAGAUCAAAAUUUUGAUAUGUAAUUCCAUUUUUUCUAUUAGAUCCUUACUAUUUUAAAGACAACUAACUAUAUACUAUUUCAAAGUUUUAUGUGUUCUUUGAAAACAGCUAUCAAUACAUCUGUAUGUACUAAUGUAUCUUUAAAGUUUCAUAGUUCUAUCAGUGUGACUAUGCUCCCUUGUAAUUGUUACAUGCACCCUAUACGAGCGGGGGAAGAGGGGGAGCGAGGGGAGCAGCAAUGGCGGAGGAAUUUGCGGCCCAAGCGGAAACGGAAUUGGGGAGCAGAUCAUCGUGUUUCCAAACUACUUUCCUUUAGACAAAUAGAACAAUAAUAAACUAAUAUAUGUCCAUUGAUUUAGAAGAAAUAACUUGAUCCUCAAUUUCAUUUUGCAGGCUAGAAUAGUAGGUGGGACAGGCACUGAUGGGACACCUAUUAUUGCAGGGAUUGCAAAGUUCAUGGAAUUAUGUUGUUCAGGAAGCUAUAAUUGUUAUCAAAGACAUCUUCAGACGCUACCCUAACACGUAUGAGUCUAUCAUUGCUACGCUUUGUGAAAGUCUGGACACUUUAGAUGAACCAGAGGCUAAGGCAUCCAUGAUUUGGAUAAUUGGAGAAUAUGCUGAAAGAAUUGACAAUGGCUAAGGAUUGUAUUAUGGUCACACAUUUUUGUUUUUUAUGAUUGGAUAUUCCAGCAGUAGCUAAUGGAGAAGUUAAAGAUGUCAU